UACGUAGGGUGCAAGCGUUGUCCGGAAUUAUUGGGCGUAAAGAGCUCGUAGGCGGUUUGUCGCGUCUGCUGUGAAACGCGAGGCUCAACCUCGCGCCUGCAGUGGGUACGGGCAGACUAGAGUGCGGUAGGGGAGAUUGGAAUUCCUGGUGUAGCGGUGGAAUGCGCAGAUAUCAGGAGGAACACCGAUGGACGAAGGCAGAGUCUCUGGGAGCCGUUACUGGACGGCUGAGGAGCGAAAGCGUGGGGAGCGAACAGGA
rnacentral:rRNA from 1 species